UCAUACAUAAUGUUUAGAAUCCUAAUUGGUAAAAAUAGCAUAAAAUUAAGUAUCAGGGAUAUUCUUUUAUGGCUCCGUGGGUUAAGGACUGGUGUUGCCAACAGCUGUGGUGCAAGUCACAACUGUGGUGUGGGUUCCAUCUCUGGCCUGGGCACUUUCAACAUGCCAUAGGCAUGGCCAGGGGAAAAAAAAAAAAAAAAAAAGUCCAGGAGUUUCUGUCAUGGCACAGUGGUUAACGAAUCUGACUAGGAACCAUGAGCAAUGAAGAAAGUAAUUUUCACUCUAGUAACUGCAUUUCUAUGCUAAUUUUCAAAGCCUCUCAGCAUUUCCCAUUAAAUCUUUUUACCAACUUCUGGUUACUAUUUUUUUUUUAAUUUCUGUAAUUUUCUCUUCAGUCACUAGAUUUAUAUUCAAAUUCUUUCGAUAAGUCUACAUUUUUCUUCUUUUGACUAACAAAGUAACGUCAACAGGAAAAUUAAGUUCCAAGAGGUAACACAGAAGCAGAUUUCUACUUUAUUGAAAGCUGUAAAUGUAAUCAAUACAUUACAAUCAACAACUACUCAACUGGACAAAUUGAAAGUAAGUUAAAAGGCAUAGCAGGAAUAACCACACUUUAAAGAGUUUCAAGGUUAAAAACCAGUGCACCUCUGGGGUUAUUUUUGAAGGGAGUUGAGAACCUCACACCAAGAGAAAAGGGGUCAUGGCCUAUGCUCAGGACAAGUGAUAAAGUACACAUGCAUUCAACGGGAAAGUUAAUUUUAUCCUCUCACUCUUAUUUUCUGUCUGGCGGGAAGUUUUUCAACACAGGGGUAACUUUCAAUAGAGCACAUACAAAUAGAGGCAAAAACCAAGGGUUCUACCCUGUAUAAGGAGAGGGUCCAAAAUGUGGUGAAUUCAGCGGAGCAGAAAUGCCUGGAGGAAGGAGAUCUAAAUCAAGACCAACAGCCGGCAGUAGCCGGCGAGGAGGACGAAGGAACCUGGACCCACCCUCACUUCCUGGGCCCCCAGUGGCAACUCGGCUGGGCAACGUGACUCAGGAAAGCACCCGGCUGGCAGCGGCCUAACGCGGAUGCCUCCGCGGACCUCCUGGGGCGGCCUUUCCCGUCUCACCUUUGGCGGGCUGGCGAAGAGGCCGCAGUCUGGACCCUUGUGACGCGGCGGUGGCGGUGACAGCGGCGGCGGCGGCCGUGACGGCGGCGGCAGCAGCAGCUCGGGCUCAGCCGGGUUCUGGCUCCGCGAACCGGCGAUGAAUCAGCCCGAUUCCAUUCAAAAGA
rnacentral:lncRNA from 1 species